AUGGCAGGAGCAUUAAAAGUGAUUGAAGUAAAAAUAUGUAAGUAUAAGUACACCUUACUUAAAAAUGUGCGGAACUUGGUGCAGUGUGGUGACUUUCCUCACCUGUUAGUGUAUGGACCAUUGGGUGCUGGAAAGAAGACCAGAAUUAUGUGUAUUUUAUGUGAACUUUAUGGUGUUCGAGCGGAAAAAUUGAGAAUUGAAUAUCAGACUAUCAUGACUCCAUCUAAAAAAAAAAUUGAAAUCAGCACCAUUGCAAGUAAUUAUCACUUUGAAGUUAAUCCCAGUGAUGCUGGAAAUAGUGACCGGGUAGUAAUUCAGGAGAUGUUGAAAACAGUGGCACAGUCACAGCAACUUGAAACAACCUCUCAAAGAGAUUUUAAAGUAGUCUUAUUGACAGAAGUUGACAAACUCACCAAAGAUGCCCAGCAUGCCUUGUGAAGAACCAUGGAAAAGUAUAUGUCCACCUGCAGAUUGAUCCUGUGCUGCAAUUCUACAUCUGAAGUGAUCCCUCCUAUUCGUAGCAGGUGCUUGGCAGUCUGUGUGCCCGCACCCAGCAUUGAAGAUAUUUGCCAUGUGCUGUCUACCGUGUGCAAGGAGGAAGGUCUGAAUCUUCCCUCGGAACUGGCCCAUAGAACAGCAGAGAAGUCCUGCCAAAAUCGUAGGAAAGCCCUACUCAUGUGUGAAGCCUGCAGAGUGCAGCAGUAUCCUUUUACUGCAGAUCAAGAAAUCCCUGAGACAGAUUGGGAGGUGUAUCUGAGGGAGACUGCGAAUGCUAUUGUCAGCCAGCAAAUGCCAUAAAGCCUCCUUGAAGUUCGUGGAAGGCUCUAUGAGCUUCUAACUCAUUGUAUUCCUUCUGAGAUGAUAAUGAAGGGCCUUCUCUCAGAGCUGUUACAUAAUGGUGAUGGACAACUGAAAGGGAAGUGGCCCAGAUGGCAGCAUAUUACGGACAUCGUCUACAGCUGGGUAGCAAAGCCAUUUAUCACUUGGAAGCAUUUGUGGCCAAAUUUAUGGCACUUUAUAAGAAGUUCAUGGAGGAUGGGUUGGAAGGCAUGAUGUUCUGA